CACAGUGGUAAUUACACUAUAAACAGGGGAUAGGGGGAGAAUAAAGCAUGAAAGAGAACCCUGGGCUUGUUACCAGGCAACACAAAAUAUGCAACCUGAAACCAGGCAAGCAUGUAAAUUUCCUUACAAGCCUCCCAGAUGUCCUCACUUUAUGGCCAAUGCUCAGUUUCAGUUUCAAUUUGUUUAUUUGCCCUUCUUCAGUCACAAAUGUGGAGCUGAGAAUGCUGGAAGAGAGAAGAGAAAGCACGAAAUAAAAAGACAAGGAAGGACCCUGCUUUCUCCCCUGCGGGUCAAACAUGAUGCCAGUGUCAACUGAAGAAUGACAAGGUUCAUCUUAUGAAGAAGAGUUUUGUUUCUCAUAAAGGGCUGUAGCCUGCAGGGUAGCCCUUCUGGUAGGCUGGGAAGCAUAGCCUCUUGUCAGAAGCCAAGAACAGACACUUGGAGGAAACCACAUGCACAGAAGAGUUCUCUCUGCAUAAAGCCCCCUUGGGAAUUGGAGGACUUAUCAAUAUGACACACAAAGAGUGGAGGAUUCAGGAGUCCUUCUGGCACCACCUCUGGGAAAUACAGUCUUCUCAAGAUCUCAUCCUGGCAACAGUCACGGGAGACAGACUAUUCCAUUUAAUUUAUGAAGAAACCUGGGGCUCAAGAACACAAGUGACUUACCAGGAACCUAACAGCUAACAAGUGGAUUGAGCUCAAGAAACAUGGCUCCAAUUUCCACUAUCCCAUGACUCCUCCAAAGAAGACCAUGACUUUCUGAAAAAGGGCAAGGACUGAUGAAAUCAUCAGCUCAUCAUGAGAAUAAAAAGAAGGAAGGAAGCUUCGCUUCAUCUAAUUUCUAAGUUGGCAGAUGCAAAUAAUGAUGCCUACUUCAUAGCAGAGAUGGGAGAUAGCUGCUUGCAAAGUGCUUUCCUGGGUGUCUACUACCAGACUGUAAGCACAUUGAGAGUGGACCUGCAUUUAGAUUCCUGUACUCCAGCACCGACUAGAGUGCCUGCCAUGGAAGGGGCACUCACUGAGUGCUUAUAGAACAGAUACAUGAAAAGAACUAAAGGAAGUCAGGAAACACACUGGAUGAAUGACAACCACAUACCUGUGAGUCAACACGUAUUUACUGAGAUGAUGUGUCCAACCAAUGCUGGCCUCUGAAGCUCUGAGGCUGCAAAGAUGAAGAAGAAAUGGUCCCAACCCCAUCUGAACUCACAGAUGUCUGGGAGAGUUCAAUUCAAAAAGACAUCAACACAGAAUUAGCUCUAUUUUAUUAUACUGUAAUAAGUCAAGUGAGAGAAGGAGGCUGAGGGGACUGUCGUCCCACAGAGAAGGGGCCUAAAGUAUGUGAAAGGCUUUCUAAAGGGCAGGAGGUGAAAGGGGGUCCUCAAAAUAAUGGGAGGCAGAAUUUGGCAGCUGAAGAAGGCAAAGUAAGCAAGUCCAACACAGGAAAGAGCCACAAAGCCCCAAACAUGCCAUGCUGUCUGGGAACAAUUGGAAUGAGCUGGGGAUAUGAGAGUAAUUCGCUUAAGCUAGAGGCCAGAGUACGAAGGCAGUGAUGAAUUGGGGGCUUGGUAGGUAGAGGCCUAUUAGGGAGAACCCAUGAGCUAAAUGCAGAUUUCUCAACCUCGGCAUUAUUGACAUGCUGGACAGGGUGAUUGCUGUGAGAGGCUGUACCGUGCACUGUAGAAUGUUUACCCCAGGCCUCUAUUCACUGGAUGCCAGUAGCAAGUCCCUCUAACACACCCCUUUUGUGACACCCUAAAAUAUCUCCAGAUACUCUAAAAUGACCAGCAGAAGUGAGGGUAAAAUCACACCUUCCCCUCCCUCUGUUGAGACUCACUGGACUAAAUUAAGGACUUUCAGUUUUAGGCUGGUUUAGAGGCUCCUGAGGUAAAGUAGCAUGGUCAGAUACGCAGUUAAUUUGGAUUAUUUGGCAUUAGAAACAGAGCACAGAGACAGCCAAUCUGGUUCAGGAGCUACUGCAACAAUAUAGGAAAGAAAUUAUAAAUGACAAUGGAAAUAUUAACCAAGGGAUGUUCUCUCUCUCUCCAUCUAUGUAAUAUAAUGGAUAAUUAGUAUAUGUACAAAUAUAUAGUGUACAUAAUAUAUAUAGUAGCAUAUUAAU